rnacentral:rRNA from 1 species
GACGAACGCUGGCGGCGUGCUUAACACAUGCAAGUCGAACGAAGUGGCGAACGGGUGAGUAACGCGUAAUCAACCUGCCCUUCAGAGGGGGACAACAGUUGGAAACGACUGCUAAUACCGCAUACGAAAGGGGGGGAUGGCGUCUGAUUAGGUAGUUGGUGGGGUAAUGGCCUACAAAGCCGACGAUCUCAAGCUGGUCUGAGAGGAUGAACAGCCACACCGGGACAGAGACACGGCCCGGACGCGUACGGGAGGCGGCAGUGGGGAAUAUUGCGCAAUGGGGGCAACCCUGACGCAGCCAUGCGGCGUGUCUGAAGGAGGCCUUCGGGUUGUAAAGGACUUUUGUUAGGGAAGCGGUACCUAAAGAAUAAGCACCGGCUAACUACGUGCGAGCAGCCGCGGUAAUAC